CAAGUAGGCCGGGACACGUGAAAUCCUGGUUGAAGAUGGGUGGACCAUCAUCCAAGGCUAAAUACUACUUACUGACCGAUAGUGAACCAGUACCGUGAGGGAAAGGUGAAAAGAACCCCGGAGAGGGGAGUGAAAUAGAAUCUGAAACCGUUUGCGUACAAGCAGUGGGAGCAUGGUUUAGGCUGUGUGACUGCGUACCUUUUGUAUAAUGGGUCAGCGAGUUACUUUCAGUGGCGAGGUUAACUGAAUAAGGGAGCCGUAGAGAAAUCGAGUCUGAAUAGGGCGAUAGUCGCUGGGAGUAGACCCGAAACCGGGCGAUCUAGCCAUGUGCAGGAUGAAGGUUGGGUAACACCAACUGGAGGUCCGAACCGGGUAAUGUUGAAAAAUUAUCGGAUGACGUGUGGCUAGGAGUGAAAGGCUAAUCAAGCCCGGAGAUAGCUGGUUCUCCCCGAAAGCUAUUUAGGUAGCGCCUCGUGAAUGAUUACUGGGGGUAGAGCACUGUUUCGGCUAGGGGGCUGUCAUGGCUUACCAAACCGAUGCAAACUCCGAAUACCGGCUAAUUGAAUCACGGGAGACACACGGCGGGUGCUAACGUCCGUCGUGGAGAGGGAAACAACCCAGACCGCCAGCUAAGGUCCCCAAGUACUAGUUAAGUGGGAAACGAUGUGGGAAGGCAUAGACAGCCAGGAGGUUGGCUUAGAAGCAGCCACCCUUUAAAGAAAGCGUAAUAGCUCACUGGUCGAGUCGGCCUGCGCGGAAGAUGUAACGGGGCUAAAACUAGUCACCGAAGCUGCGGAUGUGCGCGAAGGCGCACGUGGUAGGGGAGCGUUCUGUAGGCUGAUGAAGGUGCAUUGAGAAGUGUGCUGGAGGUAUCAGAAGUGCGAAUGCUGACAUGAGUAACGAUAAUGUGGGUGAAAAGCCCACACGCCGGAAGUCCCAGGUUUCCUGCACGACGUUAAUCGGAGCAGGGUGAGUCGGCCCCUAAGGCGAGGCUGAAGAGCGUAGUCGAUGGGAACCAGGUUAAUAUUCCUGGACUUUUUAUAAGUGGUGAAGUGGGGACGAAGAAGGCUAGGUGAGCCAGGCGUUGGUUGUCCUGGUACUUGCAUGUAGGGGGGAAGACUUGGCAAAUCCGGUUUUCCAUAACUCUGAGGUGCGAAGUGGUUCUGACCUUUUGGUACAGAGAAGUCAUUGAUGCCCGGCUUCCAGGAAAAGCUGCUAGCCAUAACUUAUAGAGAACCGUACCGCAAACCGACACAGGUGGACAGGUAGAGAAUACUAAGGCGCUUGAGAGAACUCGGGUGAAGGAACUAGGCAAAAUGGUACCGUAACUUCGGGAGAAGGUACGCCCUUU
rnacentral:rRNA from 1 species